GACUUUUGGUGGAGCUAAUGAGGAAGGCACCCGCCAUCUGAAACAGCAAAUAAGAACAGGGUGAGCCUGGAGAUGUCAGGAGCUGCCUUUGCCGCCUCAUGGAAAAAGCUUGCCUGAAAUUAGAGCCAACACAGAGGAAAGGAGAUCUAAAAGAUUGAGAAACUGAAGGACAGAUAAGACUCGACUCUCCUGAAUCCCAGGCCCUUGCUGGGUCCCCACAAGGUGGUGAGGUCCUUGAAGAUGACAAAGAAUGAGAGAGGAAGAAAAGUAUGAGAAGGUGAAGAUCGAGAAGAGGAAACACCAUUAUCCUCUCUACAACUAAUUGUUGCUGGCAGGACUUGGAGCUGCAAUCUGAGAAUUCUGAAUUUAUUUAUUUAUCUUUUUUUUUGUCACUCAUGGGAAGAGAAAAUUCUGCCCUUAGAAUGAAUGUAAUGUGCAUUUUCAUCAGCUUGAGGAACACUCUGCAGGAGUUAGGCAGGUCUACUUGUGGAGAAGGCCUUUGGCUGGGACUGCUGUUCACAGGCCUGGCCCAUCUUUCUGUGCCCUUUGCCAGGCUCCUGCCUCUCUGGGAGCUCUGCUCUUUCCUCUGGGAAGGGAAACAGUCUGAAAAACGAUUCAUACAAAUGCACAAGUGAUUCAUCGAGUUAUGGGAGCCCUGUCAAUGUAGUUAUAUUAAAAAAGAACCAUUUAGGAAAACUCCUGGCCUGCUGGAGGGAGACUAAAUUUGUCUAACUAUUGAAAGUUAAUUUAGAUUUGUACCAAAACUCUUAGAAUUUUACAAAAAUUUUAAUGUAGCAAUUCCACUUUGAAGAAUUUAUUCCAAGGAAGCAAUCAUAAAUAUAAAAAACAUUUAACUACAUAAAGAUUCAUCAUAGCAACUGUUUAUAAGAGUGAAAAUUAAGAUCUGCCUGCAUGUCCAGCAAUAAGGGAUUGGAUAAAUUACAUUAGCUCCAUUCAAUGGAAUACAUGAUAUCCCCUAAAAAUAUUGUUGUGGGAAUAUACAUAUUGUUAUGGCAAAAUUUUUACAACAUGAUAUUGACUGAAAAAGUAGGUACCCAAACACAUAAUCCUAAUUUUUUUAAAGUAUAAAAAUAUCAAAAUGUUAAAAAUAUUUGUCCCUGAAUUAUAUGUGAUUAUUUUCU
rnacentral:lncRNA from 1 species